rnacentral:rRNA from 1 species
GGAUGCUGCCUUCACAUGCAAGUCGAGCGGACAGAUGGGAGCUUGCUCCCUGAUGUUAGCGGCGGACGGGUGAGUAACACGUGGGUAACCUGCCUGUAAGACUGGGAUAACUCCGGGAAACCGGGGCUAAUACCGGAUGCUUGUUUGAACCGCAUGGUUCAAACAUAAAAGGUGGCUUCGGCUACCACUUACAGAUGGACCCGCGGCGCAUUAGCUAGUUGGUGAGGUAAUGGCUCACCAAGGCGACGAUGCGUAGCCGACCUGAGAGGGUGAUCGGCCACACUGGGACUGAGACACGGCCCAGACUCCUACGGGAGGCAGCAGUAGGGAAUCUUCCGCAAUGGACGAAAGUCUGACGGAGCAACGCCGCGUGAGUGAUGAAGGUUUUCGGAUCGUAAAGCUCUGUUGUUAGGGAAGAACAAGUACCGUUCGAAUAGGGCGGUACCUUGACGGUACCUAACCAGAAAGCCACGGCUAACUACGUGCCAGCACCCGCGGGAAUACGUAGGUGGCAAGCGUUGUCCGGAAUUAUUGGGCGUAAAGGGCUCGCAGGCGGUUUCUUAAGUCUGAUGUGAAAGCCCCCGGCUCAACCGCGCAGGGUCAUUGGAAACUGGGGAACUUG